AGCAAAACUCCAUCUCAAAGAAAAAAAAAUUGUCUAAAUAUUGUCGUAGGCAGCUCCAGACCCACGCCCCUCCUUCCGACUCGCCGUUCUCCAGGGCUGCACCUGAGGGCUGGCCUGUGUUUGCAGUCCCCCAGAGCCGAAUGCCUGCUCUGCUGAGCGGGGCCUGAGCCCAGCGGGGCAAGCCCUGGGCCUGGGUCUCUCUUCUUUCUCCUCCUCUGCCCCCAACCAUCCUGGCACCCAGCCCAGCCCCUGAAGGGACGACUUGGCUCUUGACUGUGGAGGUGGAUGGCCCGGACGCCCGCUCCAGGCCACGACCUCCUGGAUGAGCACAGGCCAGCUCGUACUGUGGGGUCUGGGGGCAAGGGCGAGGCUGCCCAGAGGGCUCUGGGGCCAGGGUCAGGGUGGGCCUGUGGGUCGGGGGUGCAGCACCGAGCCCCCGGCCCGGCCCCGCGGCCAGAGGCCAGAGACAGCCAUUCCUGAAGGGGCCUUUCUCCGAGCCGGGUGCGGCAGGAGCCCUCGCCUGCCCAGCCUCGCUGCCGGCGCCUCUCGGCCGGCGGCCACAGCCCUGAUGUUGCUUUAAUAAAACAAAGUUUUUCUUUCGUGCGCGGCCUCCAGUGGUGAAAGGGCCGAUUUACAGAGCCAGAGCCCCCUCCCGGCGCCCCGCCCGCCCGCCCUGCGGUGGCGCUGGCCUGGCCGCGGGUAAUUUAUAGCCUCAACUUAGCACACUUGCCCGGGCCAGGGCGGCAUGACUGGGGCCCUUUAUCCCGGCCCCGGGGCCGGGGCGGCUCAAGGCUCCAUUCACGGCCACCGCAGGCUCCCGCCCGGCCACGUUCCUCAUGCAGGCGUUUGGAAGCCCCGCGGCACCCGGUGGGUGAAGACAAGCUGUGUCGUUUGUGCCUUGGCGGCGGCCGCUCUCCAACCCCCAUGGCCCGGCCCCUCCCCAGCCCGGCCGCCCGUCCACAGCUCCAGACCCGGGGUCAACCACUUGUGCCAAGGAGCCUGAGAUCCCAGCCCAUGCCCAGCCAGUCAGAGGUAAGGAAACGGAGGUGGGCAGGAGGCCCGCUGGGGGCCUAGGCUGCCCCUGAACAUGAGGGAAUGAGCAGGUGGCGGGGUCUGGAGGGUCUCCGCCUCAGUUCUGUGGCCCCCAAGGCUCCAAGCUCCCCCCACCUCUGCAUGGUAGAUCUCUGUGAGGGGCAGGGUACAGAUCCCCACUGAGCGGGCACCCUGGGGCUCCCACGUGGAGGAGCACAGGGUCCCACACUGCAGACAGCUGGCCAGGCCGGAGUUCAGCUCCUCCAAGGUCAGGAGUCGGGAAAGUUGAGAGUGCAGAGGGAAGUGACGGUAGAUGGGGUAGACAGG
rnacentral:lncRNA from 10 species